rnacentral:lncRNA from 1 species
GGGAUCACGUGUGCCUCUGUGGAAAUAGGUUUGCUGGUGGAAAGUUAUAUAUAUACAUAUACGCCUAGAAGAAAAGGAGGAGCCGGUGGGAGAAAAUUGGACUCCAAUUUGGAGUCAAUUAUAGCGGCUCCAUUACGCACAGAAAACGGGGAGGAGGCAACGAAAGGAAUUGGAGAGUUCUUGGGAAAUAAAUUGCGGCUGGCUUGGGGAAUAAAAAAGGGCUAUUGGCUGCUAUCAUAAGAGAUACAUACACACAGAGGGCAGCCAAGAGUAUUAUUAAAUUCAAGCACAAAAAGUGAGGUGAGUUUGGAGUAAAUUAGCGCCUGUCGGCACAAAAAUCGAAGCAAAGAAAACUGUAGGCUGCCAAUUGCUGAAAUUUAUCUCCAUACACACGAAAAUUUCGGCUGCUGGGUGAAGGAAUUGGGUUGCUUACUGCUGAAAUCAAUACAAGCGCAAACAGAGAUAGGAAAGGGAGAAUUACACAAACGGAGUUGCACGGCUGGAGCAUAAUUGAAAAUUUAUUCACGUUCCAUCAAUUCCUGGUGAUGAAUUUCCUAAUAAACUUGUGUUUUUCCUCCAUUAUUAUGCAUAGCUAAAUUUGAUUUUAGGGCGAACAACGUAACUUGUUUGGAACCCUUUAUUUCGUUGAAUUAAGAUUCUAGUGCUUUUAUAUUUUAUGCGUUGAUUUUAUUGUUGAUUCUUAAUGCAUUUAAUUACUUGAUCACUAAUUAGAUGAUUUGUGAACAAUAAUUGCGCAGAGAUGCGGAUUAUUUGUUUAGACCACAUGUUAAAAUCCGG